AACGAACGCUGGCGGCAUGCCUAACACAUGCAAGUCGAACGAGACCUUCGGGUCUAGUGGCGCACGGGUGCGUAACGCGUGGGAACCUGCCCUUAGGUUCGGAAUAACUCCCCGAAAGGGGUGCUAAUACCGGAUAAUGUCUUCGGACCAAAGAUUUAUCGCCUUUGGAUGGGCCUGCGUUGGAUUAGCUAGUUGGUAGGGUAAAAGCCUACCAAGGCGACGAUCCAUAGCUGGUCUGAGAGGAUGAUCAGCCACACUGGGACUGAGACACGGCCCAGACUCCUACGGGAGGCAGCAGUGGGGAAUAUUGGACAAUGGGCGAAAGGCUGAUCCAGCAAUGCCGCGUGAGUGAUGAAGGCCUUAGGGUUGUAAAGCUCUUUUACCCGGGAUGAUAAUGACAGUACCGGGAGAAUAAGCUCCGGCUAACUCCGUG
rnacentral:rRNA from 1 species